rnacentral:rRNA from 1 species
CCUACGGGAGGCAGCAGUGUGGAAUAUUGGACAAUGGGCGAAAGCCUGAUCCAGCAAUGCCGCGUGAGUGAUGAAGGCCUUAGGGUUGUAAAGCUCUUUUACCCGGGAUGAUAAUGACAGUACCGGGAGAAUAAGCUCCGGCUAACUCCGUGCCAGCAGCCGCGGUAAUACGGAGGGAGCUAGCGUUAUUCGGAAUUACUGGGCGUAAAGCGCACGUAGGCGGCUUUGUAAGUAAGAGGUGAAAGCCUGGUGCUCAACACCAGAACUGCCUUUUAGACUGCAUCGCUUGAAUCCAGGAGAGGUGAGUGGAAUUCCGAGUGUAGAGGUGAAAUUCGUAGAUAUUCGGAAGAACACCAGUGGCGAAGGCGGCUCACUGGACUGGUAUUGACGCUGAGGUGCGAAAGCGUGGGGAGCAAACAGGAUUAGAUACCCCGGUAGUCCACGCCGUAAACGAUGAUAACUAGCUGUCGGGGCUCUUAGAGCUUCGGUGGCGCAGCUAACGCAUUAAGUUAUCCGCCUGGGGAGUACGGCCGCAAGGUUAAACUUAAAUGAAUUGACGG